GAAAUGCGAUAAGUAGUGUGAAUUGCAGAAUUCAGUGAAUCAUCGAAUCUUUGAACGCACAUUGCGCCCCUUGGUAUUCCUUGGGGCAUGCCUGUUCGAGCGUCAUUUGUACCCUCAAGCUCUGCUUGGUGUUGGGUGUUUGUCCCGUCUCCGCGCGUGGACUCGCCCCAAAGUGAUUGGCAGCCGGCGUACUGGUCCCGGAGCGCAGCACAUGUCGCGCAAACGAGUGCCUUGGUACGGCGGCGUCCAUAAGCCCCUCUCUCACGCUCUUGACCUCGGAUCGGGUAGGGAUACCCGCUGAACUUAAGC
rnacentral:misc_RNA from 1 species